AGGAAAGUCUAGUCCCUUAUAAGUUAAUGCAUAGUGUUGCGAAUGUGAUAACGUUAGCACUUGGGUAAGCGGUUGGGAUAUAAGUCUUGUUUCUUCUCGCCAGCGAGAACGAAAGCGUUCGCCCUCCGAAGUUUGUUUGAGGAUAAGGUUUAAUGUGUUGAAUGUUGCUUGGUAUUCAGGAAGAUUGCUGCGGGGUGAACUACUUCACUCAACUAAAUCUAGCUUACCGCU
rnacentral:RNase_P_RNA from 1 species